CCUACGGGUGGCAGCAGUGGGGAAUAUUGCACAAUGGGGGAAACCCUGAUGCAGCGACGCCGCGUGAGUGAAGAAGUAUUUCGGUAUGUAAAGCUCUAUCAGCAGGGAAGAAGAAAGACGGUACCUGACUAAGAAGCCCCGGCUAACUACGUGCCAGCAGCCGCGGUAAUACGUAGGGGGCAAGCGUUAUCCGGAUUUACUGGGUGUAAAGGAAGCGUAAACGGCUGUGCAAUUCUGAGGUGAAAGCCCAGGGCUCACCCCUGGGACUGCUUUGGAAACUGUGGAGCUGAGGGGCUGGAGGGGAAGUGGAAUUCCUAGUGUAGCGGUGAAAGGGGUAGAUAUUAGGAGGAACACCAGUGGCGAGGCGGCUUACUGGACAGUAACUGACGUUGAGGCUCGAAAGCGUGGGGAGCAAACAGGAUUAGAUACCCUUGUAGUC
rnacentral:rRNA from 1 species